AUUGGAGUGUACAAGAAAUAAUUGGAAAAAGGCAAGUUGACUGAGAAGAAGAAGAAUGUGCCAGGUUGUCUAUACUUCCUAAUGUUAUAUUGUCUACAAAAUUUUCCACUGGGAGAAACAAAAGCUGCACAUGUAAAGCAUGUUGUUGCAUAUUGGGAUGAAAAGAAAGUGCAGCAAAGAGUUAAAGAGGAGAAGGAAAGCAAUCGAGGACUCUUGCAUCCGGCAAAGCAAUCCACCAAAUUUGAUCCUGAAAAUUUAACUCAUCCGGAGAUCAAAAAGACAUAUACUCAAUUAGUGUCUAUGUUGGGGGAGGAAAUGAUGGCCCUUCAGUCAAGACUAAGGGAGGGUAGUGGCAAUGUAAGUGAAGAGGACA